AGGAAACAAGCGGGCUUGUCAAAGAAAUUCUUCCAGCUGACUCAGUUGACAGUGCAACAAGAGUUGUGUUUGCAAAUGCAUUGUACUUUAAAGGAGCCUGGGAUGAGAAGUUCGAUGCAUCAAUGACUAAGGACAAUGAGUUCCACCUUCUCAAUGGGACCUCUGUUCAAGUGCCCUUCAUGACUAGCAAGAAGAAGCAAUACGUAAAAGCUUUUGAUGGUUUCAAGGUUUUGGGACUUCCUUAUAAACAGGGUGAAGAUAGGCGUCGUUUUACCAUUUACUUCUUUCUGCCUGAUGCCAAUGAUGGACUGCCAGCUUUGGUAGAUAAGGUCAGUUCUGAAUCCCAAU
rnacentral:lncRNA from 1 species